AACGUAGGAGGCGAGCGUUAUCCGGAUUUACUGGGCGUAAAGCGCACGCAGGCGGCUUCGUUAGUCGGACGUGAAAGCUCCUGGCUUAACUGGGAGAGGCCGUUCGAUACUGCGAGGCUCGAGGUUGGGAGAGGGGUGCGGAAUUCCCGGUGUAGUGGUGGAAUGCGUAGAUAUCGGGAGGAACACCUGUGGCGAAAGCGGCACCCUGGCCCACACCUGACGCUGAGGUGCGAAAGCGUGGGGAGCAAAC
rnacentral:rRNA from 1 species